rnacentral:snRNA from 1 species
GGAUGUGAGGGUGAUCUGGCUUGUGACAUCGGUCACCCUGUUGAUCGCCAGGGUUGAUUUUACUGAUCUGGUAGGUUCCUCUUCCUUUUUCACAGCUCCAUAUGUAUCCCUCCUGAGGUUGCUCACCCUGUGGAAGGACAGCCUUCCUUGAAUAGAAGACUGUCAAGGGUAUACAAGUAGCUGUGGUUCCUGCAAGAACUUCCAAACAAGCUCUCAAGAAUUUCCACACUUUUAAAGCCCUCGGGUGUGGUGGUGUUCACACUAGUAAACCUCUCUGAACUCACGCUAACCUCUAUAGUGAGUUC